rnacentral:lncRNA from 1 species
CCUCGUGUCCUAUCACUAGAACUCUUGCGGUGUUUCCAGGUGUUACAGCUUUGGGAUAGUUUCGUUUAAGAUGCCCAACUUCUGCACAACCAUAACAGGCCCGACCAAUGCCGGCUCCGGAAGUUUGACUCGUUGAUUGGGUUGGUGUCUUACAGUUUNNNNNNNNNNNNNNNNNNNNNNNNNNNNNNNNNNNNNNNNNNNNNNNNNNNNNNNNNNNNNNNNNNNNNNNNNNNNNNNNNNNNNNNNNNNNNNNNNNNNGCCCCCGAACGUUUCCGCCGUUCAGGUUUGGGGGUGUGACAGUGACCAAGAUUGGGGUGUAUUAUUUAGUUCUUAGUAAUGGAUUAGGAUUAGAUUUAGACAAUUGUUGCUAUUCGCCAGAUAUGGCAAGAAACAUCAUUUCAUUUCAUGGUUUGUUUAGACAAGGUUUUAGAUAUUCAUUUGAUAAUGAGAAAGGUUCUAUUUAUGCUUAUCUAAAUGGUGUUUUAUAUUUUGAAGCAAUGCCUUGUAAUGGAAUUUAUGAAACUGUNUUGUGUAUAGAUCUAUACGGGCUUGACAAACCCGCGCCCUGACUGUUAGCUGCAGUCCACCGUUUGGGGUGACAAACGUCAUAACAUUCCAACGCCUGAAGAACGUUGUGUAUAGGCAUUCAGAGUCAAUAGUAUGGUUAUAAAACUCACAAGGGGUAUUAAAAUGCAUUGAUUUACAAGGUUUUCAAAUUCAUUGGUUCUUUUACAUUUACAUACAUUUUAGAAACAAACAUUGGUCUUGAGUGAAGGCUACUUUUAUACUAGUAGAAAAUAUUGGAUUUUCUAACCACAAACAAACGAAGAUAAAACAUUUCAGUUCAUUCAAACAUUGUCACUUAAAUACUUAUGAAAUUCACCAGCUUAAAUGCUGAUCUACUCUUUCAAAAUUACUUGUAUGUCCCAGGGAAUCAGUAAUUUCAGGUAUUCAUUUCGCUUUUGAUGAAGGGAUGCUGCGGCGCCAGUUUAAUCUCGUAUUUUGACAUCAUAUUGUAAUUGAGUUUUGAACAUGUAACUUUUGACAAAUGUAAACUUUCAAUUAUAUAUAUGAUGGUUGUAUUGCUUUCUUUACUAUGUAUUCAUUUGUUACGUUACCACAUGAAGUCAUCCGCCCCCGAACGUUUCCGCCGUUCAGGUUUGGGGGUGUGACAGUGACCAAGAUUGGGGUGUAUUAUUUAGUUCUUAGUAAUGGAUUAGGAUUAGAUUUAGACAAUUGUUGCUAUUCGCCAGAUAUGGCAAGAAACAUCAUUUCAUUUCAUGGUUUGUUUAGACAAGGUUUUAGAUAUUCAUUUGAUAAUGAGAAAGGUUCUAUUUAUGCUUAUCUAAAUGGUGUUUUAUAUUUUGAAGCAAUGCCUUGUAAUGGAAUUUAUGAAACUGUGAUGGUUGUAGAUAACUUAGGAAAUGAUGUAUUAUGUAUCGAUUCUUCCAAAAGUUUGGAUAAAGCAUGCUUGUGGCAUUGUCGUCUUGGACAUGUCAACAAGAAAGGCAUAGCCCAAAAGGAUGGAGUGUUGGAGUCAUUCGACCUUAGGGAUAAUGACGUGUGCGAAUCUUGUUUGCUUGGAAAGAUGACCAAGUCACCCUUUACUGGCACUUGUGAAAGGGUUGAGGGUUUAUUGGAUCUCAUACACACCGAUGUGUGUGGACCCUUUAGAUCCACCACAAGGGAUGCGAGCCGCUUCUAUGUAACUUUCACCGAUGAUUAUAAUAGAUAUGGUUAUAUCUACUUAAUCAAGCACAAGUCAGAAACCUUUGAAAAGUUCAAAAAGUUUAAACAAGAAGUGGAGAAUCAGUUGGGCAGGUAAAUCAAGAUGCUUGGAUCCGAUCGAGGAGGAGAGUACCUAAGUCUUGAAUUCCACGACUAUCUCAAGGAAUAUGGAAUUGUUUCACAAUUAACGCCAUUGCGGACACCACAUUUGAAUGGUGUGGCUGAGAGGUGUAAUCGAACCUUGAUAGACAUGGUUCGUUCCAUGAUGGGUCGUGUUUCACUACCUAUCUCAUUUUGGGGGUAUGCCUUAGAGACUGCCGCCCAUAUCCUUAACAUAGUACCUACGAAGAAAGUUGCCAAAACACCUCAUGAAAUGUGGAUAGGGAAAGCUCCCUCGUUGGCACAUAUCAAGGUUUGGGGUUGCAAGGCUUUCGUAAGACGAGAGACUCACGACAAAAUCUAACCUCGAAGCAAGCGGUGUAUUUUCAUCGGCUACCCGCAAAAGUGAUGGGUUUUGAGCAUUCUAAAACUUCCUAAGUGUACAUGCAACCCUAAUAACCUUGGAUCUAUGUUAGUCUAAUUAUCAUGCAAAGUUGAAUUUCCAAGGUUAUAUUCCUAUCUAGCAUACAUGGGGAACAAUUUUAACUUGAAUGAAAGAUAGAAUAACUUACCUUGUUGUUGCUUGUGUUCCUUGAAACCUUGUGAGCCUAGCACCCCAAGUGUGAUGCCUCAAAUGCUUCACACAACACCAAAUGCUCUUGGAAAGACUCUUGAGAUAACACACACUUCUCAAAAUCGGCCAAGCCCUCUAGUUUCUUAGUAGUGCCGAUUUUGGUGGAGAAUAUGCUUCUUAUAUAGUGUUGUCACAUCUAGGGUUACACCAUGUAAACCCUAAUGUGUCAUGACUCUUCAUUUCCAUGACCCAUGGGUUUGUAACUCCCAUGGAGCAUCCAUGGAGCAUCCUAUGGGUAGAACCCAACUUGAUAAUCCAUGGAGCCUCUUAGCCCACUAUACAAGAUAUGGAUGAUUUACAUAAUCAACCCAUAUAUUUAAUUAGUUAUCCUUUGAUCACUUAAUUAAUUCCAAAUUAAUUCUUUGAUCAACUAAUCAAAUAAUAUUAUUAAUAUAUUAGAACUUAUAAUAUAUUAAUAAUCUCCAAGUGUUAUUUCUCUCAUUUAGUCUAUCCAAUUGCAUGGUGCCAUGCAACCCAAAUGGACCAUGCCGGGUCGGGUCAAGUACAAGCCCGAAAUAGUUAUGGACUUAGACACCUUAUCCAACAGUCUCCCACUUGGAUAAGUCUAAUAACUAUAUCUCUAGUACUUCAGGAACCGACCGGCAAUCGUAGCUCUUUCAAGGUCUCUCGGAACUGAGAAGAUGAUGGUACGCCAUUUAAGAUAAGUGAUCAUAUAAUCCUCCGUUCUAGAUAUCAGCCGGACAAAUACAUGGAACAUUGUCUUGCUUAUUGUCCAGCAUUUGUUUCCCGAUUUCCGAUUUGUUUGACAUAGAACUUAAUUGAACACAUCAACUUAGUUCUGACCGGGCCCGGUACAUGGGUCAAAACAAAAUCAUCGAGGGGCCCAGAUAUCAGCUUCUAAUCCAAGAAGGAACAGAUAAACUUCGACUCAUAUGUUUGUUCUACCACUCAUUGAAUUACACACAAAAGUACGUUUUAUAACAUCGAGUUACCAAUGCGGUUUCGUACAGUCAAUGCAUAACCAACUUGUAAGUAACAAAUCAUAUCUCUAGGUUUGAAGACUUAUAUGAUAUUACCGUCUCACGAUCACUCGAGAUAGAAUUCCAUGAAGUGAUUCCAGUGAGCGUGGGUUGAGUCCAAUGCUCAGAACUUAUGAGCACUCAUGAUUGUUGUAGCCUUGUCCAACACCUUAGACCUCUACAACCCAUCAUGACAGUCUUGAUUCAUACCUACUUCCGACAUAUGACCGACUGUGGAGGUUUGAAUAAUAUGUUACACCAAACAAAAUUAUUCUGGAAGUCAAAACAUGCAAAAGAAAUAUAGUAAACGAUUGACAAGAGAUAGCAACACUUUACUCAUAAAUAAAACACCUUUUAUUCAUCAUCAAAUGUCAAUUACACUUUACAAAUUUCUGGGUUAUCUAACUACUAAAACUUAUAUCAUCCUUCAGCCCUAUGCUCCGAGCAUGCUGGAGAUGCUUAACCCUACUCAGUCCCUUCGUGAGGGGAUCUGCUGGGUUCUCAUCCGAUGAUACCCUCUUUGCCACGAGGAGUCCUUCUUCGAUCCGAUGUCUAAUGAAAUGGUAUUUUCUGUCGAUGUGUCUGGAUCUCCCAUGAUCCCUUGGUUCCUUGGCUAAGGCAACAGCACUUUCACUAUCACAGAAAAUUUCCAUUGGCUCUUUAAUAGCUGGUACAACUCCAAGGUCUCCAAUGAAGUUCUUCAGCCAUAUCGCCUCCUUUGCUGCUUCGCUAGCUGCAAUAUACUCUGAUUCACAAGUAGAAUCUGCCACUGUCUCUUGCUUGGAACUCUUCCAAGAAAUUGCUCCUCCGUUUAGGGUAAAGACCCAGCCCGACUGAGAGCGGAAAUUAUCCCUAUCAGUCUGGAAGCUAGCAUCACUAUACCCUACAACUCUCAAGUCAUCACUCCCACCGAGGGUAAGGACCCAGUCCUUAGUCCUCCGUAGGUACUUGAGGAUAUUCUUUACCGCAGUCCAGUGUGCCUUGCCAGGGUUCGCCUGAUACCUGCUAACCAUGCUCAAGGCAAAAGCUACAUCGGGUCGAGUACACGUCAUAGCAUACAUGAUCGAUCCUACAGCCGAAGCGUAAGGUGUUCGACUCAUUUCUGCUAUCUCAGCCUCAGUGCUAGGGCUUUGUGUCUUACUCAAUCUGGUGUUACUCUGGAUGGGUAACUCUCCUUUCUUGGAAUCCUGCAUGCUGAAUCUCUUCAGCACCUUAUCCAAGUAGGUACUCUGACUAAGUCCAAUUAGUCUUUUACUCCGAUCUCUCAAGAUUCUUAUCCCUAGAAUAUAGGCAGCUUCACCAAGGUCCUUCAUAGCGAAACACUUCCCAAGCCAGGACUUUACUUCCUGCAGGGUUGGAAUGUCGUUUCCUAUGAGUAGUAUGUCAUCCACAUACAAUACCAAAAAGCUAACUAUACUCCCACUAGCCUUGACAUACACACAAGAUUCAUCUUCACUCCUAGAAAAGCCAAAUUCCUUGACCUUUUCAUCAAAGCAAAGAUUCCAUCUGCGAGGUGCUUGCUUCAAUCCAUAAAUGGAUUUCUCAAGCUUACACACUCUAUUAGGGUACUCGUUGCUGACAAAACCCUCUGGCUGACUCAUGUAAACAUCUUCAGCCAACUUUCCAUUAAGGAAAGCGGUUUUGACAUCCAUCUGCCAUAUUUCAUAGUCAUGAAAUGCAGCUAUGGCUAACAGAACCCGAAUAGACUUAAUCUUGGCUACCGGAGAAAAGGUCUCAUCAUAAUCCACUCCAGGAAUUUGAGAGAAGCCCUUUGCAACCAGUCUAGCCUUAUAAGUGUGUACUUUACCAUCCAUGUCGGUCUUCUUCUUGAAGACCCAUUUGCACCCUACUGUCUUACGACCUGGUACAUUUUCAACCAAGUUCCAAACUUGAUUGUCAUACAUGGAUUGUAUCUCGCUAUCCAUAGCCUCUUUCCAUUUAGCAGACUCGGGGCCUGCCAUGGCUUCCUCGUAGCUGUUAGGGUCAUCUUGACUUACUAGUGUCUCAUCACUAAUAAGUGUCUCACCUUCUGCAGUAAUAUGGAAUCCAUAGUAAUGCUCAGGUGCACUCCUAACUCUCGUGGAACGUCUCAGAGGUACAGAUUUGUCAAUUGGCUCAACAGGAGUUUCCUCCUCAAGUUGAGGGCUAGAGUUUGAAGUUCCUUCACCGCUUGAUUCUUGAAUUUCUUCAAGAUCAAUUUGCCUCCCACUGUCUCCUUGGCUUAUAAACUCUCUUUCUCGAAAGACUCCUCUUCUUGCUACAAAGACCACAUUGUCACUAGGUCUGUAGAAGAGGUAACCAAAGGAUCGCUGUGGGUAACCGAUGAAAAUACACCUCUCGCUUCGAGGUUCGAGCUUAUCAUGAGUCUCGCGUCUCACGAAAGCCUCGCAACCCCAAAUCUUGAUGUGGUCUAGUUUAGGUACUUUACCAGUCCACAUCUCGUGAGGAGUUUUGGCAACUUUCUUUGUAGGGACUAGAUUAAGAAUAUGGGCGGCAGUCUCUAAGGCAUACCCCCAGAAUGAGAUUGGUAGCGUAGCUCGACUCAUCAUGGAACGAACCAUAUCUAACAAGGUUCGAUUACGCCUCUCAGCCACACCAUUCAACUGUGGUGUCCUGGGAGGUGUCAAUUGUGAGACUAUCCCACAUUCCCUUAGAUAGUCGAGGAACUCUGAACUAAGAUACUCACCACCACGAUCGGAUCGAAGCAUCUUAAUGUUCCUGCCCAAUUGAUUCUCGACUUCCUGUUUAAAUUCCUUAAACCUCUCGAAAGUCUCUGACUUAUGCUUGAUCAAGUAGACAUAUCCAUAUCUACUAUAAUCAUCAGUAAAAGUCAAAUAAUAACGAUUAGCAUCCCUUGUGGCAUGUUUGAAUGGUCCACACACAUCCGUGUGUAUAAGGUCCAACAAACCUUCACCCCUCUCACACGAACCUGUGAAGGGUGACUUUGUCAUUUUUCCAAGUAAGCAUGAUUCGCAACUAUCAUCUGACUUUAGGUCAAACGACUCCAAGACUCCAUCCUUUUGGAGUUGGCCUAUGCGUUUCUUGCUUAUAUGUCCAAGACGACAAUGCCAUAAAGAUGCUUUAUCCAAGUUAUUAUUAGUAGAAUCAAUACACAAAACAUUAUUUCCCAAGUUAUCUACAACAGAUACAGCUUCAUACACACCAUCACAAGGUAAUGCUUUAAAAUAAAAGACAUUAUUAUAGAAAACAUCUAUAGAACCAACUUCAUUAUUAAAUGAAAAGGUAAACCCUUGUUUGUACAAAGCAUGAAAGGAAAUAAUAUUUCUUGCCAUUCCUGGCGAAUAACAACACUUAUUCAAAUCUAAACUAAACCCACUACUUAGCGAUAAAGUAUAAACUCCAAUCUUGGUAACAGGUAUAGCUUUCCUAUUCCCCAUGAUCAAGUUUAUCCUUCCUUGCUCCACAUCCUCACUUCUUCUUAGUCCCUGCAAGUCACAACAAAUGUGAAUACCACACCCGGUAUCAAGGACCCAAGAAUUAGAAUGGGGUGAGUUAUUAGAAAUGAUAGUGUAAAUACCUGCAUGGUUGGGUUUAACUUUCCCAUCCUUCACAUCUUGCUGGUAUUUUGGGCAGUUCCGCUUCCAAUGAGCUUUUUCAUGGCAAUAGAAGCAUUCAGCCUCUUUUGGGUCAGAAGAAGGAGUAAUGAAACCUUUCUUGGUUCCACUUGAAGAAGAGCCAUCAAGGGUCCGAACCUUGGUACCCUUAGAAGAGCUCUUUCUCUUCCUCCCUCGACUUUUCCCGAUUGCCAAAACCGGAGUAGAGUUUUGAGUAGGAGUGAUAGCAACCGACUUCCCCUUAAGACCUGAUUCUGCGGUCUUGAGAAGUCCCUGAAGUUUGCUGAGGGUGACUUCUUCCUUGUUCAUGUGAUAUGUCAUGCGGAAUUGAUCAUAGCACGAUGGUAAGGAAUGCAAAAUAAUAUCUAUUGCAAGAUCCUCCGGGAAGUUCACAUUAAGCUUCAGCAAACGAUCCACAUACCUUUGCAUUUUCUGCAUGUGGCUCGUGACGGAUUCCCCGUCCUUCAUCAUGGUUGUUAUCAUGGAGCAGAUGAUUUCAUACCUCUCUUGUCUUGCACUUUGAUGGUAUCUUUCCAUCAAAUCUUGGUGCAUUUCAUAAGGGUAGAAAUCCUCAUAAGACUUUUGGAGUUCCGCUGUCAUCGUGGCCAUCAUGAUGCAAGCCACUUUCGUAGCAUCCCUUUCAUGUGCCCGAAAUUCAGCGAUCUCCUGAGGAGUUGCAGUGGACUCAUCAAUCUCCUUAAGCUCCUUGUCAAGGACAUAUUCUUUGUCCUCGUAGCGGGUAAUCAUCCUGAUGUUUCUGAUCCACUCAUUGAAGUUGGAUCCAUCAAAGGUGACUUUCCCACACAAGUUCAUAAGGGUAAAGGAGCCAUUAGGAUUAGAGCCAGAAGCAUUGUUGAAAGACAUCUGAAGGAAAGAGGACAAGAUUAGUUUAGAUAUAAGAGAGUCCUUAAUAAAACACCCAAAUGUAAUAUUAAGGCUAGGAUCCAAUCACAAUAUAAUAUAACUUAGAAGAGGUAUGCCGUAAUCUAAGCUAUAUCAUAUUUGAAAGGUAGGUGAAUGACGAUUCACCAAUUUCCACCACGAAAACCGCAAUAUUUUAGUAUUAGGUUUUUGAAUGGUUCUUAGAAAUUCCUAGAUUCUUUGAGAUUCAAUGAACUUUUCAAAGGCAUGUUUCAAUCUCGAGUGUGCCCUCCAAGUUUUGUGACUGGGAUACCGAGGAUCACAAAACGAGGUGUGAAGUAACCAUGCAAAUCACUUGGUACCCUUAAAGUUUAUCACUCAAUCGAUGUGCCGGUUAACCACACACGCUCCAUCGAUACUAUAAUAAACCCUAAGUCACCCUUUACCUACCUUGUUAAGUCCAAGUUAGUGUGCCGGUUAACCACACACGCUCCACCAACGACUUAAUCAAAGUGUAAAGUGUAAUUUCAUGGAAUAGCACCUUAUUCACAUUUUUCCUAAAGUAACUAAGAUUGGGAAUUUAAUAAAACAUUUAGUUACUUUAUAAUAUUCAUCAUACUUUGAAUGAGAAUUAAUAAGUCCUUGUCUUACCCGUUCGGCUAACGACCCUCCACCGAUCAAGCAAGCGGUGGGUGAGAGUGGACACCCAUUAAGUCACCAUUUUAUAGGCAACAACCUUAUACCCACCUUAUAGACCGGCUUCGUGAAUGAGGCGUACUAGCGGUAAGACGACUUUGUUCUUAUACAUAUAUAUAUAAUUAUUAAAUCAUAAUAAUAUAAGUAUAAGGGUUGAAUUUUAACUUUUAAAAUUCUAGGGGUUGGAACUAAAGUUUUAACUUAACUUUACUUGUUCCAAAACUUGAGGGCAAGUUUUGUAAACUUUCAAAACUUUUCAUUUCUUGUAACUUAUGAGUUUAAUAGAGUAAUAAAAUGAGGACUUUUCAUUUUUCCUAACUCUUGUGUUCUUUUAAUGGUUUUUAAUCCAAGAGACUUUUGGUUUUCCAUAACUUGAGGACAAGUUAUGGACUCCAUUAAAACACAUUAUGAUCAUGAAUUAAUCUACCACAUAGGUUACAAAUAAUUCCUAUGAUCAUCUAAACAUCAUAAGAACAAGAAUAUGAAUAUGAACACUUUCAAGAAUCAAAAUCACAUUUAAUCUUUGUAAUUUUGAUAACUAGUUGUUGUAAAUGAGUUAGAAAAGACAUUACACCUUCUAAAAUAAGUUUUCAAGUACCAAAACAUUUUAGGGUAAUGAUUCUAAUCCAUUUCCAGCAACUCAAGUCGAAAUUCUGCACUCUGUCGACCCUACUCGCCGAGUGCAUAAACCUACUCGCCGAGUAGGUUGAAGAUACACAUGAACUCGACGAGUCCUCCCCAUGGACUCGCCGAGUCCAUCAGUCAGACAGCAAGAUUUUCGACUUUCUUCAACUUUUAAGCACAAAUAACAAACAAACAAGCCUAGGCUCUGAUACCACUGAUGGGUUUUGAGCAUUCUAACACUUCCUAAGUGUACAUGCAACCCUAAUAACCUUGGAUCUAUGUUUGUCUAAUUAUCAUGCAAAGUUGAAUUCCAAGGUUAUAUUCCUAUCUAGCAUACAUGGGGAACAAUUUUAACUUGAAUCAUAGAUAGAAUAACUUACCUUGUUGUUGCUUGUGUUCCUUGAAACCUUGUGAGCCUAGCACCCCAAGUGUGAUGCCUCAAAUGCUUCACACAACACCAAAUGCUCUUGGAAAGACUCUUGAGAUAACACACACUUCUCAAAAUCGGCCAAGCCCUCUAGUUUCUUAGUCUAGCCGAUUUUGGUGGAGAAUAUGCUUCUUAUAUAGUGUUGACACAUCUAGGGUUACACCAUGUAAACCCUAAUGUGUCAUGACUCUUCAUUUCCAUGACCCAUGGGUUUGUAACUCCCAUGGAGCAUCCUAUGGGUAGAACCCAACUUGAUAAUCCAUGGAGCCUCUUAGCCCACUAUACAAGAUAUGGAUGAUUUACAUAAUCAACCCAUAUAUUUAAUUAGUUAUCCUUUGAUCACUUAAUUAAUUCCAAAUUAAUUCUUUGAUCAAACUAAUCAAAUAAUAUUAUUAAUAUAUUAGAACUUAUAAUAUAUUAAUAAUCUCCAAGUGUUAUUUCUCUCAUUUAGUCUAUCCAAUUUCAUGGUGCCAUGCAACCCAAAUGGACCAUGCCGGGUCGGGUCAAGUACACGCCCGAAAUAGUUAUGGACUUAGACACCUUAUCCAACAAAAAGUCCUUUGGAUAUCUCUUCUAUAGGCCGAGUGACAAUGUUGUCUUCGUUGCGAGGAGAGGGGUUUUUCGAGAGCGAGAACUCAUAAGCCAAGAGGAAAGUGGGAGGCAGAUUAAUCUUGAAGAGAUUCAAGAGCAAAGCGAUGAAGGAACCUCUAACACUGGCGCUCAACCCGAGGAGGAAACUCCGGUUGAACCUAUUGACGAGUACUUACCUCUUAGAUGUUCCGAAAGAUUUAGUGUUCCACCCCAGUUUUAUGGUUUUUGUAUUACUACAGAAGGGGAUACGUUCAUUAGUGAUAGUACACUAGUGAAUUUAGAUGAACCUAACAGCUAUAAGGAAGCCAUGGUAGGCCCAGAGUCUUCAAAAUGGAAAGAGGCGAUAGACAACGAGAUUCAGUCCAUGUAUGACAACCAAGUUUGAAAUUUGGUUGAUCAUGUAUCGGGUCAUAAGACGGUCAGGUGCAAAUGGAUCUUCAAAAAUAAGACCAACAUGGAUGGGAAUGUGCACACUUAUAAGGCGCGAUUGGUUACGAAGGGCUUUACUCAAACUCCCAGAGUUGACUAUGAUGAGACCUUCUCACCAGUUGCGAAGAUAAAAUCUAUUAGGGUAAUGAUGGCCAUUAAUGCAUUUCAUGACUAUGAAAUAUGGGAAAUAGAUGUCAAAACCGCUUUCCUUAAUGGGAAGUUGGCUGAGGAUGUUUACCUAUCUCAGCUAGAGGGUUUUGUCAAUGCAAAGCAUCCUAAUAGAGUGUGCAAGCUUGAGAAGUCCAUUUAUGGACUUAAGCAAGCGUCUCACAGAUGGAAUCUUUGUUUCGAUGAGAAAGUCAAAGAAUAUAGAUUUCUGCGAAGCAAGGAUGAAUCAUGUGUAUAUGUCAAAGUCAGUGGGAGUAUAGUUAGCUACCUCGUAUUGUAUGUCGAUGAAAUACUGCUCAUAGGAAACAACAUCCCGACAUUGCAGGAAAUAAAGUCCUGGCUCGGGAAGUGCUUCGCUAUGAAGGACCUCGGAGAGGCUGCCUAUAUUCUGGGAAUAAGGAUAGUGAGAAAUAGAAGUAAAAGAGUAAUAGGACUUAGUCAUAAUACUUACUUGGACAAGGUACUAAAACAUUUUAGUAUGGAGAAUUCCAAGAAAGGGGAGUUACCAAUCCAAAGUAAUGCCAAGUUGAGUAACACUCAAAGUCCGAGUACUGAAGCCGAUAUAGAAGAGAUGAGCCGAGUACCCUAUGCUUUCGCAGUUGGCUCGAUCAUGUAUGCUAUGACUUGUACUCGCCCUGAUGUGGCCAUCUCUUUGAGCAUGGUCAGCAGAUAUCAAGGGAACCCUGGCAAAGCACAUUGGACCGUAGUCAAGAAUAUUCUUAAGUACCUUCGGAGGACCAAUGAAUGGUUUCUAGUCCUCGGUGGGAGUGAUGACUUAAAGGUAUGAGGGUACAGUGACGCCAACUUUCAAACCGAUAGGAACAAUUACCGUUUGCAGUCGAGGUGGGUCUUUACCUUAAAUGGAGGAGCAGUGACUUGGAAAAGUUCCAAGCAGGAGACCGUGGCUGAUUCAACGUGCGAAUCAGAGUACAUUGUAGUGAGCGAACCGUCAAAGGAGGCGAUAUGGUUGAAUAACUUCAUUGGAGACCUUGGAGUAGUGCUGACCAUAAAAGAGCCUAUGGAAAUUUUCUGUGAUAACGAAGGAGCGGUUGCCUUGACUAACAAACCGAGGGAUCAUGGUAGAUCUCAACAUAUUAAUAGAAUAUACCACUUUAUUCGACACCGGGUAGAAGAAGAACUCCUCGUAGUAAAGAGGGUAUCGUCGGAGGAUAACCCAGUAGAUCCGCUUACGAAGCGACUGAGUAGGGUUAAGCACUUGGAGCAUGCUAGGAGCAUUGGGCUGAAGGACGAUAUUAGUUUAGAUUAUAUAGUUUGAAACAUGUAAUAGAUAAAUGUAAUUGACAUUUCAUGAUUAAAUAAAGGGGUAUUAUUUAUAAGUAAAGUUACUAUCUAAUGUUAAUUGUUUACCUAUUGUUUCAUUUUGCAUGUUUUGACUUCCUGAAUAAUUAUAAUCGAAUUAUUCAAACGAUCCACAGUCGUUCUUAUAUUGGAAGUAGGUAUGAAUGAAGAUUGUCAUGAACUGCUGUGUAGAUUGUCAAAAGUGUAUUAGACAUACCAAAGGUUUGCUGCAAUGUUCAUGAGUGUUUAUGAAUACGAAUUUGAGCAUUGGAAUAAACCCACGCUUGCUGGAAUCACUUCAUGGAAUUUAUCACAAGUGAUCGCAAGACGAUAAUAUCAUAUGGUCUUAAAACUAAGAUAUAUGAUUUAUUGUUUUCUGGUUGGUUAUGCAUUGAUGAUGCGUAAACGCAUUAGUAACUUGAUGUUAUAAAACACAUUGUUGUGUACGAUUUGAUUAGUAAAUGGUAAAUGCAUAUAAGUCAAAGGUUAUCUGUUCCUUUUAUUCUAAGAGGGUAAAUGCGAUAUCAGGGCCCCUCGAUGAUUUGAUUUGACUUAUGUGCCGGGCCCGGUCAGGACUAAACUGAUGUUUUCAAUUAAGUUCUAUGUCAAAUAAAUCCGAGAUCGAGAAACAAACUGCUGGACAAUAAGUAUGACUAUGUUCCAUGUAAUUGUCCACACGAUAUCUAGAACGUAGGGCUAUACGAUCCCUUAUUUGUAACACCCUGGGUUUUCUCGGUACGUUUGGUUAUUUUAAUUUAAUUAUCCUUGUAACCUUGGGUUAAUUUAUUUAACCAAUGUCUGAUUUCUUAUGUUAUUGGACUCUUUUGAUCAUCUUGUAAACUCCUUUUAUUGAAGUCCAUGGGCUAUGGGCCUAUUUGCAAAGUCCAUCUAGUUAAUUCUACUUAAUGUGUAAAUUGAAUCAUUUGGAACACACACAAGGAAAACACUCUAAACCAUCCCUCUCUCUCAAAGAUCGUCCCUCUCUCUCUCUCUUUGGGAUCAAGAGCAGCCAAGGGGCUGUUUGGAGCUUAAUUCUUGUUCAUUUCCAGCCUUGAUUCGUAUUGGUAUGAACCUCCUUAUCCUUUCUUACAACUUGAUUCAUAACCUUGUUCUAGUUUUAUGAUUUCAUCUUCACCUCUUCUCCUUCUUAUUUUAUUUGUAAUUGUAUGUUAUACAUCAUCUCAAGAUCCUAUCUUCACCCCAUAUAUGGUGGAUGAUGGAUCUAGGGGAUUACAUGUGGCAAAAGAUCAUGGAAACCCUAAAAGGGAGAAUGAUGAUUUUAUGUGCUUAUGUUUAUUUUCAUGUUGAUUAUUAUUACAUCCUUGUGGCUAAAUGAAAUCCUAAUGAUCCCUAACCCUUUUUAGUACCACCAUUAUCAUGGGGACUGAAUUGGGAUGAUGAACACAUCUUAAAAUGUGUUUCAAAAGGAGAAGGAUGGAUAAGCCAAAAAGGAAUCACGGGUGGCUACGAUUCUGUUUUCCAUCAGAUCUGUAGUCAUUUUGUAAAAAUCAUAUCUGGAGCUCUAGAACUCAAACGGACCCCAAACCAGUUCCAAAAGUUCACAAAUUGAGUUGGCUAACUUUCUUAAGAAGGCCAACCUCACUGAUAAGGGCUUUAUCUAUGUGAAAGAAUGGCAUCUUUGCUGUUAGGUCUGAUCCGGGUCUGUUCUGAUAUGUCAUUUUGUUUUCAUCAUUUCUAAGGCUUGGAAAAGGAUCCAGAGUGAUUCCAAGUUUCUAUAUGUUCCUUAUAUUAUGAAUUUAAGAUCUGGAGAAUAUGGGGUGUUAUUUCCAAUUAUAAAUUGGUUAGAAUGGAUCCACACUCCAGGUCAGUGGGCAGUCACCAGCUUUUGCUAGUGCUGUGAUUGUCCACAAUGUGAAUUUUAUAUCUGGAGUUUGAGAGAUGCUUUUCAUUCAAUUCCAACUCUGAGACUUUCACUUGUAUGUCCUUUACUUCUCUUAAUUUUCUUUUGGACGAAUUCUACUCACAAGUUGGGUAGAAUUGGCCAACAUCACUUGACUGUAUUGUUGGAGACAGAAGUGAUACACCAUUUUGUAAAAUUCAUAUUUAAUUCAUCUUUUGGAGUUAGAAUGAGUUCUUUAUAGUUAUGGAAUCCUGAGCAAUCAUAGUUUCCUAUAAAAUUUAGUUAAAGCUAUGUUUCUGUUUUAGAUUUUGGAGUAAAUCCGUUUUGAACAGCAGGUCUGUUUUAGAGACCUUGCUGUGAUUACUCUUUUCUCAACUCAUAGCUUCAUUACUUCUCGUUUCUAACCUUUAGUCCUUCUUAGGCGAGGUUUUGAAGUUUGCUCAAGCUUGGUAGCAUUAUUUGAUUGUUAGCCAUCCUUAAUACUCACUCAAGGUGAGUUCUCUCACACCGUUGUAUUGAUGAUUGUGUUUGCUAGUUAGCUCGUGUGUGAUUAUUUGAAUUUAUUAUAAAAGCAUGCUAUAUAAGUAUUGUUUUAAUUCGUACAUGUGCACUGUAUGUAACUAAUUAUGGAUAUGGGGACACCACCAAAGGAUACGGAUUUACCGGUGCGGUGGGUAGGUAAGAUCACCAACGUAAUACUCUUCGUGAGGUGCGGUGAUUAGGGCCAAAUGAUACGGGAUCUUCCCGGUGCGGUUCAAACCUACAAGUCCUUCUCGUAAUAUAGACAUUGAUUCGUUCUUUGCCUUUAUCAUUAUAAUUGGAAAAUGGAUUAGGGCUAGUAAAUAUGAAUGUUAGUACAAUGUCUGUGUUUGAAUUCACUAAGCUUCGUGCUUACGUUUUUCCCUUAUAACUUUUCAGGUGUUAAGAUUAAAGAGGCUAAGGCUUGACAUGGAGCAUCGGGACAUCGCUACUAGUUAUUUUGUUGGGACCUUAUUAUUAUUAUUACUUCCGCACUUAUUUUAUAUGAUUAUUAAGUUGAUGGAUUAUGUUAUGACUAUUUCAGUUGUUUUAAUUUAAUUUAAGAUGGGUUUUAAAAGUUUAAAAUUUUUGCAAAAAAAAAUUGGGUGUCACAAGUUGGUAUCAGAGCCACAGUUUGAGGGAACUAGGCAUUCUUGUGGAUGUUCUAGACUCAAAUUUGAGGCUCUAUAAGAGUUUAUUUUCUUUUUAAAAUAUUUUUCAAACUUUCUGAAGACUAGUAGUGAAAGAUGUCGCGGUGUACCAGUCAGCCAGCCAAGUAAGCCUUAUUUCUUAUGUUAAAUGUUUAUGUUAAAUUGUUGACUAUGAAUUGGAUUCUACUAGCCUUAAAAUAUUAGAUUACACACUUAGUUAGUGUUAACAUGUGAGAGAGUUGUAAAAUUAACGGCUAGAGCGAACUGGAAAUUUUGAAACUAGACGCGAAUGCGAAAUUGGAACUUGUGUGGAAGGUAGUAGAAGGGCCCCUACUAUUUGAAACAUCGGUGCCGGUUUCGAGUCGGGGCAAGGUUGAAAAAUUUUCGGCAAGCUGAGUGUUUUGUCUUCCUAGAAAUAUCUAGGCUGAAUUGUUUCUAAGAUUUUCCUUCUUCUGUGGAUACCAAUGGCUCCGCCUGCUCGACUUAAUCAGCUCCAAAUGGAGCAAGUUAGGGAUAUUGUCGCUGAGGAAUUCAAUAACGGUUUCAACGAACUAAUCCCGGGUGUGACCAACGACAUAAUCAACCAAUUCGGUGCUCUUCUGGAUGAGCGCCUCGCGGCUAUUCCCGGGGAAGCGUUACUGUCUCUGCCUGUUCAGGAUUCGGCAUACUACUUCGAGAAGUUCAACAAGUGUAGCUCUCCUCUUUGGAAUGGUGAAUCCGACCCAGUUGCUACUAAGCCCUGGGUGUCAGAUGUUGAGGGCGCCUUCAUAAGUGUUGGGUGUCCGGACUAGUACAAAGCAGUGAUCGCCAUGAAUCAGCUGUGAAAAAGGGGAAAGACAUAGUGGAACACCAUCACCGCUCUAUUGAACGAAGACGAAGUGAGGGCCAUGUCUUGGGCCCAAUUUGUGGAGAGGUUCGAGGCACAAUAUGUGCCUAAGGUGGAGCAGCAGCGGAUGCAGCAAGAGUUCAUGGCCUUACAGCAGACUACCGAAUCCGUUAGUGACCUGAACGCCAAGUUCUUGGAGAUGCUAUCUUUUUGCCCCUCGUUUGCUGGGAACGAGGCCUGGUUAGUCAGCCGGUACACGGCCAUCCUACGUAUCGAGAUUCGGGAAUUCGUUAGCAUGCAGAAGUUCUCGACUUUAUCUGCGAUCAUGAAUGUAGCGAGGAGGAGGGAAAUCGAGUUGCAGACCCAGUCCAAGAGGAAGGCCAAUGACACCUCUUCCAAGACAUCCAGAGAUGCCCAGAAAACGCAAAAGCAGGGUAGUAAGUCAAGGUAUGAGUAUAGGACGUCUUCAGGGCGAGAAAAAUAUGUUGAUAUGCUACAACUGCAAAAAGCCAGGGCAUCAUUGGAAGAAUUGUAGGGAUCCCCCUGCGAGUGCAGUACCUCAUAUUACUUCUGCAGUUCCCGUCUGCUAUCACUGCAACGAGACGGGACACAAGAAGCCUGAAUGCCCGAAGUUGAAGACUGGUAAAGGAGACAGGGGUACAAAUCCUGCAAUUGCAUCAUCCUCUAAGGGAACCAUUAUGGUGACACGAGGUCGUGCUCACCAGAUGACUGUGGAGGAGCCGGUGAUUACAACGAAAGUGGCAGACACUUAUUUGCUAGAUUCCAAUCCCGAUGUUGUUAUGUUUGAUAGCGGUGCUACCCAUUCUUUUGUAUCUCACACGUUUAUUAAUCGUUUGGGGCGUAAUAUCGGAAAAUUGGCUCACCCAAUGGUUGUCGAUGUUGUCGACAACCGCACUAUUUAUGUCACCGAUGUUUAUCCGGGUUACACUCUCGAGUUUUCUGGAGUUGAAUUCCCCAUGGAUCUUAUCCCUAUUGCGAUGCGAGAGCUCUGCGUUAUCGUAGGUAUAGAUUGGCUUGAUGCGUUUGAUGCGGAAAUUCACUGUCGUAAGAAGCAAGUUCGUGUUCGAAACCCUAGAGGUGGAGAACUUAUUAUUCAAGGGGACAUUCCCCGCCUGGCUAUGGCUUCUUGCUCUUCUGCUAUAGCACUAGACGACGUUCCUAUCGUUUCCGACUUCAGCGAUGUCUUUCCGGAGGAACUCCCUGGCUUGCCACCUGUUCGGCAAGUGGAGUUUCGCAUUGAUUUGGUGCCAGGUGCGACUCCGGUAGCGAAAUCUCCUUACCGCUUGGCACCACCUGAAAUGAAAGAGCUCCAAGAUCAACUUCAAGAACUAAGUGAUAAAGGGUUUAUACGGCUAAGCUGCUCGCCUUGGGGUGCUCCUAUUCUCUUUGUGAAGAAGAAAGAUGGAUCCCAACGAAUGUGUAUUGAUUAUAGGGAGCUAAACAAGCGCAUGAUAAAAAUAGGUACCUGUUGCCACGUAUUAAUGAUCUUUUCGAUCAGCUUCAGGGAGCAUCUUGGUUUUCCAAGAUUGAUUUACGUUCCGGUUACCAUCAGAUGCGUGUUCGUGAAGAAGACAUUGAGAAAACAGCAUUCCGUACUCGAUAUGGGCACUUUGAAUUCGUAGUGAUGCCUUUUGGGCUAACCAAUGCAUCCGCAGCGUUCAUGGAUCUCAUGAACCGGGUGUGUAUCCUGAUGCUUGACUGUUCGGUCAUAGUGUUCAUAGAUGAUAUCUUAGUCUAUUCUAAGAGCAAAGAUGAGCAUCAGCAACACCUUCUGGAGAUUCUGGAAACUCUGGCAAGAGAAAGGCUUUAUGCUAAAUUUUCAAAAUGUGAAUUUUGGUUGGAAGAAGUUCAGUUCUUGGGGCAUGUGGUAAACAAACAAGGUAUCAAGGUCGAUCAAGCCAAGGUUGAUGCGGUUAAACAAUGGAAGAUUCCGAAAACACCUUCUGAAAUUCGCAGUUUCUUGGGUUUAGCCGGUUAUUACCGGAGGUUCAUUGAAAAUUUCUCUAAAAUCGCCUUACCACUCACCCGAUUGACCAAGAAAUCAAUGAAAUUCGUUUGGGGCCCGGAGCAGCAACUGGCGUUUGAUGAGUUAAGGAAACGAUUGUGUGAAGCUCCGAUUUUGGCCUUACCUGAUGGGGUUGAGGAUAUGGUGGUUUACUGUGAUGCAUCGCUUCAAGGUCUUGGUGCUGUGUUAAUGCAACGAGAUAGGGUGAUAGCCUAUGCCUCCCGACAGCUGAAACCCCACGAACGAAACUACCCCACUCAUGAUUUGGAGCUUGGGGCUGUUGUUUUCGCUCUUAAGAUUUGGAGACACUAUCUCUAUGGAGUGAAGUUUAUCAUAUACACUGACCAUAAGAGUCUAAAAUAUUUGUUCGAGCAGCGGGAUUUGAAUAUGCGGCAGAUCCGAUGGUUGGAUAUGGUAAAAGAUUAUGAUUGUGAAAUUCACUACCACCCCGGUAAAGCUAAUGUGGUAGCUGAUGCUCUCAGUCGUAAACAAUCUGCCGAACCGAUUCGAGCUAAGUGUCUCCGGAUCACGAUGGUGUCGUAAACAAUCUGCCGAACUGAUUCAGGCUUGAACGAAAAUCCUACAAGGAUCUAUGAGUUUUCGCCCAAGGGCUUAAGUAAAGGAGUCCAUGGACUUGCUUAGGCCCUAAGCUAAGGGAUUAGGGUUUCCACCUUAAAACCCUAGCUAGCCUCAAGUAUAAAUAGCCCCUAGGCUUAAGAAUUCGACCACCCCUUGGGAAAACCCUACUAUAGCCAAAUUUGGGAUCUUAGUACCCUUCCUUCUGUCUCUCAUAUUCAUCCUCUCACCCAAAGUGUGUUUGUGAGCCAUUAGAGGUACUACGCUUGUGGUACUUGCUUUCAAGAACUAAGGAAAUCAAAGGAACUCGUUGUUAUUAGUAUAUAACAAAAAGAGGUAUGUAUUCUAUUCUCCUAUGUGAAUUUCGAUUAUAAUAGAUGCAUGCUAGGUUUCUUUUGUGUUCAUAAAGCUGUAUGUCUAAUAGUGAAAACAUAGAUCCAUAAACUAGGGUUGCAUGCACACAUAGGAUUGUUUGUAUAAAACCCAACAGAAUAUUUAGUGGAAUAUGUGAUUCUAGUAAAUCAAGCUAUCACAUAACCACUUACUAAAGUCCUUUCCGAAGUGGAGAAUAUGAAGUGGUUCUCAGUUUCUUGGCCAUCAUCUUUAUCUGAAACCUUUUAAUAGAGCCGGGACAUGAUUAAGGCAUAUACCAAGCUGACAAUCAAUUCCUUCUGAGCCACUCUGUCACUGUCUCAUCCAAUUCCUGCUCCGAGGAUUGCCCAAAUAGAUGAAGGUCUCCCACCAUGAAAGCCGAUGAGAUCCCUAAAGAGCCUCUGACUCGUCUUCCAUCUAAGCUAUUCAUUACCUAAUUUGCUCAACAAAUCAUCUCCUCCAUAUCAUCUUAAUUUUAUCCAUUCAUGGACAAAGGCAAACGAAUAGCCCCUGAUUCAUACACUACAAUGAAUUUGUUAAAAAAUUCAAAGGGGUAGUCAAAGGAACAAUUACAACAAGCAUUGGAUGAAGCAUUCAGAUUCGAACUCUCAAAGAUAAUCCAAAUCCGAUGUUGGGCAUUUCCCCUCUCUUCCGAGAUAGGAUUAUUCAUGAUAUACAUUUUGUGCCCUUCAUGUAUUUUGAUAUUCUAACUCAAUAUGUUGAUCAACUAGACUUACCACUUCACCCACAUGGACGCUACUAAAUCAAGUUCGCAGCCCUGCAUCUAACUGAUGAUCUUCAAAAUAUCAUUCGGGCUGAGUGUGAGAGAUUGAGAACCUUUUACUCUACCAAUGCUCGUCGACAAAAAAGACGUAUGGUUUUGGAAGCGAAUUACCAAGAUAGUUGGUCAUGGUAGAAAACUCCAAAGAAAGUUUGAUCUUGAUUGUCUUCUAUAGAAGUUUUUCAUUUCUCGGAACAAGGAAUCCACCAUCACAAUCUAAGAUGUAUACUUUCCUUCAAUGAAUCCAGAUGCCAUUCUUGUUAUAGGUACUCACCUCCAAGAUCUCCAAACUAAUGAAUCAAGCAUCGAAUCCUAUAACUCUGAUAUCUACUUUUUGAAGGACUAUAUCGCAUAAUUUUGUCGAUUGGAUGUGGAGUUCGCUCAUCUCUUUGGAACGAAAAAUGUUUUGGCUAAAAUCACUACAAAACAUCCUCCCAAAUCUUUGUUGAAGGACAAAUUGAAGAACCAUAACUUGGUUAUGUCUACCUCAAGAAGAGGACCAAUACAAAUGGUUUUUUUAGAUUGCUUGACAAACAUCUCAUUCCUACCAAGAUUUUUCAAAAGUUAAUUGAAAAUGCUGCCAAAAGUGAUUCUUCUAAGCACAUUAAGAAGAAAUUUACUGAGCAUCACCAAUGGUACAUCGAAGUCCAAAAUGGGCUCCAGAGUGCCUACAUGUUUUUUUUAUGAAGUGAUGUGAUAAGUUGGAUGAUUGCAAUGGUCAUUUAGGGGGAGAUUGUUAGAACAUGAAAAGUGACCUCAUGCAUUUCGAAGUGAAGGAAAUCUGAGAUGAUGUGUUCCAAAAUGAAGACCGAUCCCAAGCAGAAGACAUGUUCAAGAUGCAUCUUAGAGAUUAAAUGUUUCUGUGUCUGUAAUAUGCAUUUAUUAUUCUAAGUACUAUUUUGUUUUGUUCUUAUUGUUUGAUAGUAUAGUACAUGGGACAAGAUCAACAAAACGGGUUGUGUCAGUUUGUUGAUCUUUAGAUGUGUUUUAGUCCAUUUACUUUAUUAGAUUUUUCUUUUAGUCACUCCUUAUCUUUUUAAGGAGUUGUAAUCUUUGUGUUAAGCACACAUGAGUGCAACAUACACAUUUCUCAUCACUAUGAAGAAUCAUUCAGUCAAUCAUUCUCUCUAACGUUCUUAUUGUUCUUGAAUCUCUUUACAUUGUUCAUACUUAGAAUUUAUUCACUUUGAACACUUUGGUGAACUUCUUAAUUCCAAGGCAAGACUAGUUUACCAUACUUGAAUGGAUCCUUAUUAUUAGAAGACUAUAACAUCCCCAAAAUUUUGACCCAAAAAUUUCAUUUAGUUUACCAAAACAUAAUAAGAACAACAAUGUUUUCAAAACCAUGAGGACACGAAAAAGUUUUAGUAGUACAAUCAAGACAGUACAUAGAAAUUCAUCAUCAGAGUAUAAGUCCCAAAAUCUUAAAGGCGGAAAUCAUGGUGUGCUGCGAUAUGAUCAAGCUGACCCUUUCCCCUUCGAGCUGGAGGUAACUAAAACACAAAUUGAACCGGUAAGCAUAAAGCUUAGUGACUUUCCCCGACCAUACCACAUACUACAUAACAUACUCUCAAGGAUAUCUGGGUGCCCAACCUACCCUGCUGAGCAUAUCUAGGUGCUCAAACUACCCUUAUCAAGCGUAUAUGGGUGCCCUACCUACCCUUAUGAGGCAUAUCUAGGUCCCUGAACUACCCUUCGAUCUUAUUCUAACUGAUUACGAGUUUAUCUCACCCCUACCACUACCAUAUAAAAUCAUGCAUAUCUUACAUAAACAUCAAAAAAUACAUGCCACCUUAAUAAUUAUCACAAAGACAAUUAUUAAUAUAUAUCAAUACUAUUAGGCCGACCUUUGUGACUUCAACCCACAAAAUCUAUGAAGGGAGACUCACCUCAACUAUGAAUGUCGAAUACUACUUCGUGGAUAAGUCAGGGCUCCUCUCCCUAAAGCACAAGAACUUCCUAACUAGCUAUUGGAUCCAAAUAUAACUCCAAAGGCCCAAUUUUACCACAUAAAGCAAAAGUUCCCUAAUCUUUUUCCUAUUGGGCCCUUUCCUCUCAAGGCCCAACUUUCAUAAUAAAAUUACUAAGUCUAAUUAAUUAGGCUUUAAGGCCCAAUAAGGCCCAAUAUAAUAAUCCCAAUCCCAGCCCCAAGGGUUUCAGUCCACCUGUGGGUUUGAGGCCCACAAAUUCCAAGCCUAACACUCACGGCCCAAAGUAGCCAACUGAACGAGUAGACGUGACGUACACAACAGGUAAGCCCGACGUACUCCGACUUUGACCAAAAGUGGGAAGCUGACGUGGUACACGUAGAAAACCAAGUGGUACGCCCGUCGUUCCUGCCAUCCACCCUAAAAUCCUUCUUUUGACUUAGUCCAUUAAGUCUUAACAUCUAGAACGUAGAUCUAGGCUCCUAAAAAUGUCCUAAACAAUAAAGUUAUGAACUUUAUGCGUUUGCAUACAUGGGAGUGAGAUUAAUACACUCAUUAAGUCCAUAAGUUCACUUAGUGGGCAUCUAACACUUGCAUGGUUAAGGCUAAACCAUGAAGAUCUGAUUUUUAUGGUUCUAAACACCUCCAAGAGCCAAAAAGGACAACUUAUUUGGUUAGAUUCUUCUAAAACUUGAAGGACCUCAUGUAUGGGACCAAAAUGAGACAUAAAACUCCCCAAAACUAAAUCUAUGCAUGGAAUGAUCAAGUUUAAAGCGUUAUACCUCAAAUGGGUCAGAAGUGAUGCCAAUCUUCUGGAUCUACAAACCCUCUCCAAGUUCUUUCUCUUUCUUCUUCAAAACCACCAACAUGAUGAAAGUAAGCUCAAGAAACAUGCAAAGGGGUAAGGGUUCGACUUGGAAACUUUGGGGUCACUGGAAGCUGAGAGGGUAAGGGUUUGUAGGGUUACAAGAAGCAUAAAUAAGGUGCAAACCCUAAACCUUAGUGUAUACAUCUGAUCAACCUACGCCUAGCGUAUGCAUGGGGACUUCCCACUCCACCCCUCGCUUGUGUACGUUGUGUGUACACCUUAUACACCCAUCGUAACCCCCAACCUUCAAUAUCCAAUAUAUGAACAAUAAAACUUGGAUAAGUAGCAACAUAUUUACCUGAGAAAUCCCGGGCAUUAAACAGACAUUGAUCUUAAGUUAAUUCAAGGUUUGAGUUUUCAAACCUUGUCCGUGCACAUCUUUUCUUUCACAUACGUUACGUUUAUAUUUAUGUUCUAUACUACAUAGUGAAAUAUCAUCAAGAAUCUAUUGUAUAUAAGUAAGAUUCACCUAUGUCAAAUAAACUACAUUAUUUGCCUUCAAAGAUUGCUUUCUUGAAGUUGGAAUAUGUGAAUGUCAUAUAUAUAUAUAUAUAUAUAUAUAUAUAUAUAUAUAUAUAUAUAACAAUGUCAAAUAUGAUUUUGAUUCAAAACAAGUUUGAGUGAAAACUUAAUUUGCAUAUAUAAAAUUUUAUAUGUAAAGAUUGAUAUUUACUUUAUAAUUCUUGUUAAGAGAUCAUAGUCAAUUAAACAAAAUUUUAUUCAUUUUCGAAUCUGAUUGUCAUCGUUAUGAAAAACGAUUUGAGUAACUAGUCAAUCAUUCAUAAAUUAAAUAACCAAGACACAUAUUUAGACAAUCUAAAUUAAAGGAUACAUUUUUCCAAAACAAACAUUGUUUUAUUAUACAAGUAUAUUAUGUUCCUAGCAUAAUUAAUAAACUAAAGUUUGAGAGUGUAGUUCCAACUUGAUUGUGCUUAACUGGUUACUCUUCUGUAAAUAUUUGCAACCUAUUUAGACGUAUUAGAUUUAACGUUUAACUACCAAGUACUUGAGUGUUACAUGAAAGUUAUAAGUUCUAUUUAAUAGAUACUUUAAGUACUAGUUUCUUGUAUACUUUUUUUUCCAGAUAUCAGGAGAAGUUCCUCUUUAGGUAUCUAGUUUUUCCAAAAAAGAAAAUUGAUCCAUCUAUGUGGGGGUUGUUGGAUUUCUUGGGCUUAAAGGUGAAUUUUCCGAGAAAUUGGGACCUUUUAGAGCACCCAGGGUGGGUGUUCUCAGCCUUGCACUAUUAUAACAUUUGUAAAAAUAACACUCAAUUUACUGAAAUAUUGCUUAACCUGUUAUAUCAUUAGAUAUGCAUCUAAAUUAUCCAAAACUUCAUGGAAGUCAGCAAAACCUAUUCUUUGUUUGAUGUUAGAAACAUAUUUAUCAUCAAUAUGAUUGCUUUACUGGGUAUCUUGUUCAGGUCUAAUGAUCAAAGCCGGUUGUUUAGGACUAGGACCUUUCAGUGUAUAGAAUUUUAUAUCUCUCACGAGAUUGCCUCUCAAGACAUGAACACAUUUAAUGAAGUUGUAUUUAUUGAAUGUUAUAAUUUCAUUAAGUCAUUAAAUAAAAUGACAAUUCAUGGUAAUGAGAAUGGAUUAUUUGUCUACAAAAUUUUAACAAAAUUCAUUUAGUAUUUUCAAUGUUUAAACUCUUUCAGAAUUAAUACCCUUUUAGUUUCCAAAAAACACUAGUUAUCAAAGUCUAGGAUCCAAGUAGCAAAGCAAGUAAAUGGUUAGGUGACAUUUAUCCCAUUAAAUUUAAUCCAACCCAAUAGAUAUCGGUUAUCAAUUAUAUCCUAAUAUACAAUUCCUAUAUUUACGGGACCUCUAAUACAAAAUUAAUUAGACAUGUUUGAUCCCAUCUAUGCCUUAGAACUCUCUUCCUUAUGUAUUCUUUAUCACAAAAGAUUUCCCAAUCAAAUCAUUUAAUUUGAAAAACUUGUAUAAACAACCUAUAACUUGGUUAUAGAUAUUGCGAAUAUACCCUUACCAUCAAAAGAUAACACUAAGCGGUUAGGUAUUCUUUAUCCCACUAGUGUAUACAUGUGAUGUGCGAGUGUUCUUCAAAAUGGAUUGCAUAGAUUUGAAGUUUGAAAGGAUAAUUUUGUGUUUUAUAAUUCUAGUUAAAAAAAUUAUGAUAUCAUGGUUGCUACAUGCAUAUAAUAAGCCAUGUUACAAAUUUUAAAAACAAUAUCUCUUUUUAAGCAUCUAUAAUUUGACGUGAUUCAAUUUUAAAUAUAAUAAUUUGUAUUAAGUUAUGUUUGGGCACAUAUAAACCUGUUAUAUCUUUAAUAAAACUUCCUUUUAUUACUUAUAUAUAUGGAGUUUGUAUAAGUUACAAAAUCAUAAUUUUAAAACUUAUAGUUGAGUAUUUCAAAAUUUGUCAUUAUUAACGUUUUUAUAUAACCAGUUUUUAUUUUAAAACAAUAACUUGUUACAUAUUAUGUCCACAUUAUAAGUUUUGACAACUAAACUCCAUGUGAUGUUUGUUUUGUCCAAAAUUAUAUUAGUAUGUGAAAAACUAAUUUAGCAACCACACUUAAUAAUUACAUAAGAUAAGCAACACAAAAAUGCAUAAAAAUAUAUGUGCAUAAACAUAACCAAUUAAUGACAUUUUUGUGAGCAACAUAAAAGAUCUCAAAUCCAUUCAUAAAGGGACAUUUAAAGGGACCAAAAAACUUUUUGUAAUGUUUUUGUAGAAGCUCCCACAUGAGAAAACAUUUAUUGCUUGCAAAAGAAUGGAUAAACUUCUUGAAUGUUAUAUUUCAACAACAAUCAUUAAAAGUCCAAUAGCCCUUAAGAAACAGCCUUACUGACGGUUUACAGAAGCUGCCGGUAACUUCCCAUCAUGCUUUCAACUUUGAAAAUUACCUCUUUUUUCCAUAAAAAUGGCUCUAACUUCAUUUCUUGUUACAAUUUUGUACGAAGAAAUUAUUUUUAAAAACUAUUCUAUUACUUACAAAAUAAACUAAGAAGACUACUCUAUUUAAUUUAUUACAUACCAUCUGAAUAAAUAAAUUAUUACAACCAUUUUUAUAAAAAAAAAAUAACAAGCAUACACACAUAACAACAUAUUGGUCCUUGGCUAGUUUAUGCAAAUCAUACAUAUUAAAAUACAUGUAAAACAACUUUUUUUUCUUAGACAACUUUAAAUGACAAUUUGCAUGAACUUUUGUCCAUAAAAAAUAACAAUUUUAAAGUUGACAUAGAAAAUAUGUAUGAAAUCAUUUUAGUAAAAAAAAGUUAUCUAUGUUUUCCAAAACGUAAGAUUUCCCAAAACCAUAAAAUGUAACCAAACUUCCAAGGAUGGCUCUUAUACCAAUUUUUUGGUUUUCAUUCAAGAAUUAGCUUAAAAAUAGAAGAUUUAGCAAUGAAGACUUUGAUUUUUGACCAACAUAAAACAACUUUAUAACCAACCAUGGAUUUUCUUGGAUAGUUUGAAAAGAAAACAUGCACCAAAGAAGAAUAUGAAGAAAUAACAACCUUUCUAGUUAUUUGGGUUCUCUUGGGAGGCUUGGAAGUUGAUCGAGAAUGUGGAACCUUUGAGACACCAACAUAACUCAAUUUGAUGUCAAGAUGCUAAUCUUUGUAAGAUACGUAUUAAGCUCAGUUCUUAACCAAUAUGAAGUUUAAGAGAGCAAAAUUCAAGCAAAUAUGACUCACAGUCUUGAAGAAUAUGGAGAGUGUAACAUAUAAUAAACAAGUUAUGAUUUGGUGCUCUAAAGAGUAACAUAGUGAAGCCUUUUUCGCAUCUCUAAAGCAUGAACAAUAUACAUGAGUCUUUAACCAUUAAGCAACCAUGCAUCUACUAGUUAGAUUGUUCCCCAUGUUUCUUAUUACUUUAGAUUAAAUAAGUGAAAACCCUAUUCUUUGUCUCCUAUAGGAUUUUCGUCCAUAAGGAAAAAAAAAGACACAAAUUUUUUAUUUUAUAAACAAAGUAAAAAUAUAAACUUUAACCUUUUGGUAAAAGCAUAAAGAAUCUAUCUAGUGCAAAAUGUUAUGCAUGACUUAAUAAUUAUGUAAUCUUACUUUCUAAUGAAAAUUAUUAUUUUCUAGAAAUUAAUAAUUUCCAAUUAAUUAUAAGUGUUUAUUUCAUAUUUAUUAAAACUAAUUUCUAAUAAAAAAUCAAUUGUAUUAAGUUUUUCUUAGUUUGACCCAUUAGUGUCAUAUGUUAAUUAGUAAUAUCACUUUUACUACGACUCUUGAUAAUACUAGAUCUUUCCCUCUUCUAAGUUACAUCUCCACCAUUCAAUAGAAAUACCCAUCCAAAUUAUGAAUAACUAUUAUCUCGAUCUAUUUGAAUGUUGGCAUCAUUAUGUUAUGCCCAAGUAAGUUCUCUUCCUAGCUAUGUAAAUACUUAUUCUAAGAAUGUACAUUGCCUCUCCUAGAUCCUUUAUAAUGAAACAUUUCCCAAGCCAGGACAUCACCACUUGAAAAGUUGGAACAUUGUUUCCUAUAAGGAGUAUGUCAUUGACAUGCAAAACAAGAAAUGUCACUACACUUCACCUAGCCUUGACGUAUACACAAUCCUCAUCCUUACAUCUAGAAAAUCUAAACUCUUUGACCUUUUCAUGGAAGCAAAGGUUACAGCUACAAUAUGCUUUUUUAAGUCUGUAUAUAGACAUUUAAAGCUUGCACACAUUUUUUAGGGAUUUUGGCAUUUUGAAAACCUUCUGGUUGAGCCAUGUAAGCAUCGUCAGUCAGUUUCCCAUUAAGGAAAAUAGUGUUAAUAUACAUAUUCCAUACUUCAUAGUCAUGAUAAGUAGCUAUGUAAAGCAUUACCAUAAUUGACUUGAUAUUGGUAACUGGUGAAACGGACAAACCAUAGUCAACCUAUUAAGUUAAAUUAAAGACCUUUCCAACCAACUUUUCCAUGAAGGUCUUCUUAGAGAUCUGUUUUCACUCUACUAUCUUUCAAACAGGCAUGCGAUCAACCAAUGUCCAUACUUGGUUAUCAUAAAUGGAUUGAAUAUCUCUAUGCAUUGCCUCUUUCCAUUUUGAAGCCUUGGGGCUUGCCAUCACUUCCUUGUAGUUAACCAGAUCAUCCAUAUUUACUAGUGUGUUAUCACUGAUAAACAUUUACCCAUCUGGCUUUAAACGGAAACCAUAAAAGUCAGGUGGGAUACUAACUCUAUUGGAUUGACAAAGGGGUAAUGAAUUGUCAUUGCACUCAACAGGUUCACCCUCAGGUUGAGAGCUAGUGUCAUAUAAGGUUCCAUCAUUGGAUGACCAUUGAAUUUCUUCAAGAUCAAUCAUAUUCCUAUUUUCCUCGUUGGUUAUAUAUAUAUANUAUAUAUAUAUAUCUUUUUCUCUCUUUGUCUUUCUUUUUUUCUUUCUUUCUCUUUCUCUCUCCCUCUCUCCCUCUCUCCCUUUGUCUUGUGUGUACGUGCAAAAGACUAAUCUUUGAGCUACAAAUACCACAUUAUUAGAUGUUAAGUAGAACAAGUAUCCAGAGGACUUCAGUGGAUUACCAAUGAAAAUACACCUCUAAUCUCUAGGGUCUGGUUUUUCUUGAAUCUUGUUCCUAACAAGUGCCUCACAACCCCAGACCUUUAUACAUCCGAGUGAGGGAUGUUUCCAUAUCCACAUCUGAUAAGUCAUUUUGGCAACCUUGUUGGUCGGAACAAGAUUAAGGAUAUCGGCGGUUGUCUCUAAGGCACUCCCCAAAAAAAUAUACGGAGUGAAGAUUGACUAAUCAAUGAAUGAGCCAUUGUCUACAUCACUAGAAAAAACAAUACUAAAAACAAUAUUGCAUAGUUCAUUUACACUCAUACACAUAACAGUUUCAUAUAAUCCUUUACAAGGAUAAGCUUUAAAAAUAAAAACACCAUUUGUAUAAACCAAUACUAAACCUUCAUUAUUAUUAACCAUUUAAAAAUAACCUUUUCUAAAUAAAGUGUGAAAUAAAAUUAUGUUUCUUAUUAUUUAUGAUGAAUAGCAGCAAUUGUCUUAAUCAACCCUAACAAUAUUAUCAAACAUAAGCUCAUAAACUCCAAUAUCGGUGUCAAAGUGAAAGCGUUUUUCUCAUCUUUAAAUCAUGAACAAUAUACACGAGUCUUUAACCUUUCAACAACCUUGUGUCUACUACCUAGAUUGUCCCCCAUGCUUCUUAUAACUUUCGAUUAAAUAAGUUAAAAGCCCAUUCUUUGUCUUCUAUAGGAUUUUCGGCCAUAAGAAAAAAAAAGACACAAACUUUAUAUUUUUUAAACCAAGCUUAAAAAAUAUAAACUUUAACAUUUUGGUAAAAGACAAAAGAAUUUAUCUAGUCCAAAAUGUUGUGCAUGACUUAAUAAUUCAUACCUUAUGAAUUAUGUAAUCUUACUUGCUAAUGAAAAUUAUUCUUUUCUAGAAAUUAAUAAUUUAGAAUUAAUUAUAAGAGUUUAUUGGAUAUUUAUUAAAACUAGUUUCUAAUAAAAAAAAUCAAUUGUAUAAAGUUUUUGUUAGUGUGACCACUUAGUGUCAUAUGUUAAUUAGUAAUAUCACUUUAAUAUUACUCUUGAGCAUACUAGAUCUUUCACUUUUCCAAGUUACCGCUCUACCAUUCAAUAGAAAUACCCAUCCAAAUUGCGAAUAACUAUUAUCUUGAUCUGUUUGAAGUUGGCAUCACUAUAAACACUCACAUUAAGUUCAUUUUUGCCACUGAAAAUUUUGAAUCCUAUCUUUUGUUUUGCACAAAUACUUACGUAUGUUUUUCACUGUUGUCCAAUAAGUCGCACCAGGAUUUCCCUGAUAUCUACUAACAGUGCUCAAAGCAUAUGCGACCUCAUGUCGUGUGCAUGUCAUAACAACCAUGAUCGAUGCUAUAGUCAAAGAUAUGAGACUCCACUCACUGCAUCUAUGUCCUUAUCACUAAUGGAUUAUUAAUCCUUGCUUAAUUUUAUAGUAUGAUGCAUGGGUAAAUAUCAUUUCUUGGAAUUAUCCAUAUUGAAGUGUUUCAAUAUUUUAUCCAAGUAAAUAUUAUGGGUAAGCCCACGUAAGCGUCUCUUCCUAGCUAUGUAAAUCAUUACUCCAAGAACAUACAUUACCUCUCCUAGAUCCAACACAACGAAACAUUUCUCAAGCCAAGAAAUCACCUAUUGAAAACUUGGAACAUUGUUUCCUAUAAGGAAUAUGUUAUCGACAUAAAAAAUAUGAAAGAUUAUUCCACUCCACCUAGCUUUGACUUAUACACAAGUCUCAUCCUCACACCUAGAUAAUCUAAACUCUUUGACCUUCUCAAGCUUGCACACCUUGUUAGGGUAUUUGGGCUGUUAAAAACCUUUUGGUUUACCCAUUAUAAGUAGCUAUGUCAAGCACUACACUAAUUGACUUGAUCUUGGUAACUGGUGAAAAGGUCUCAUCAUUGUCAACCCCUAAUUAAAGCCUUAUUGCAGCCAAUCUUACCUUGAAGGUCUUCUUGAUGAUCUAUUUUCAGCCUACUAUCUUUCAACCAGACAUAUGACCAACCAAGGUCCAUACUUGGUUAUCGCACAUGGAUUGGAUCUCUAUAUCCAUUGCAUCUUUCCAUUUUGAAGCCUUGCGUCCUGCCAUCAUUUCCUUGUAGAUAGCCGGCUCAUCCAAAUUACUAAUGUGUUAUCAUAGAUAACAUUCCCCAUCUACCGUUAAAUGUAAAACAUAAAACUAAGGUGGGAUACUAACUCUACUGGAUCAACAAAGAUGUAACGAAUUUUCAUUGCACUUAACGGGUUCAUCCUCAGGUUGAGAGCUAGUGUUAUAUAAGGUUCCAAAAUUGUAUGACUCUUGAAUUUCUUUAAGAUCAAUCAUACUCCUAAUUUCCUCGUUGGAUAUGAUCUCUCUCUCUCUCUUUCUCUCUCUCUCUCUCUCUCUCUCUCUCUCUCUCUCUCNCUCUCUCUUUCACUAUUUUUGUGUGUGUGUCUAUCUUGUGUUUACGUGCGAAAGACUUAUCUUCGAACUACAAGGACCACAUUAUCAUAUGGUCAGUAGAUCAAGUAUUCAAAGGACUUAUAUGGAUUACAAAUGAAAAUACACCUCUAAGGUCUAGGUUCUAGUUUUUCAUGGGUCUUGUUCCUAAAAAGAGCCUCACAACCCCAGAACUUGAUACAUCCGAGUGAAGGAGGCUUCCCAGUCCACAUCUCAUGAGGCAUUUUGGCAACCUUCUUGGUUGGAACAAGAUUUAGUAUAUGGGCGGUUGUCUCUAAGGAAUUCCCCAGAAAAAUAUAAGGGUUGAAGAAUUACUGAUCAAUAAGCGAGCCAUUGUCUACACCAUUAGAAGAAUCAAUACUAAAAACACUAUUUCAUACUUCAUUCACACACACACACACAACAAUUUCAUAAAAUCCAUUACAAGGAUAAGCAUUGAAAAUAAAUACAACAUUUGUAUAAAACGAAACUCAACCAUCAUUAAUAUCAAGCAUAUAACGAUAAAUUUUUUAAAUAAAGCGUAAAAUAAAAUUAGGUUUCUUAUUAUUUAUGAUGAAUAGCAACUGUUGCCUAAUCAACCCUAACAAUAUUUUCAAACAUAACCUCAUAAACUCCAAUAUUGGUGACAAAGUGAAAGCCUUUUUCUUACCUUUAAAGCAUGAACAACCAUGCAUGUAACAACGUGAAUUUCUCAAAACAAUUUUUCAUUUUAAGCACAUAAUUCAUUCUUUAAGAAAUCCCAAAAUUCAAUGUUUACAUAUCAUCCGAUUAAAACAAAUCCCAAGAUCUCAAUACAUAAAAUCCCUUAGUGUGUACGACUCAUGUCGACGCCUUCCCGCGAUCCUCGCUGGUACCUGAAACACAUAUCACAAAACACGAUAAGCAUAAAUGCUUAGUGAGUUCCCCAAAAUACCACAUACAACACACACGCCACUCGAGGCUACAGUACGACCCUCCGGUCGAAGUGUCUCAGCGGGACCCUAUCGUGUCGUAGCUCAUUGGAUCCUCUGGACCGGUCAUAGCUUGUUGGACCCUCCAGUGCAGUCUAUAUUGUUGGACCCUCUGAUCCGGUCGAUACAACACAUAGCAUACAUAUAACACAAUGCACAUAAUCUGAAACUUACACAUAUCACAUAAGACCCUCCAGUCUGCACAUAGAUACCACUCUAGGUAAUGUAUAGUGAGGAGACUCACCUCGAAUGAAGUCGGAUAAAAUCUCGUGCUCGACGUCCCUACCUAGGCUCCUCCUAUCAUCCAUAUAAUAUUACAGAUCAAUACCCUAUCAUAGUCUCAUCUCUAAAGAUUGAGUAGAUGGCCAUUCUACCCCUCCCUGAACUCUCUUGAAUCAGCUUGAGCAAAACCCUAAGGUCAACUGAAGUCAAUGGUCAAACUAUGACCCGACUCGGCAAGUGCACAUGGACGACUCGGCGAGUCCAUGCGGGUCCUUUGAAUCCUUGUAUUCUUACAUCGCACGUCGAGUUAUCCCUUCACUCAACGGGUUACACCUGUCACAAAUCGCGGGGUAACCCCGACUCGACUCGUCAGGUCCGCUUAUGGACUCGGCGAGUUGCUUCCAUGAUCACACUCAAAUGACCUUCUGAGGUCAAAUCUGCUUCUCUAACCUAUAUAUCUGCCGUUACCAUACACAAUAAUCAUGUAAAGGUCCAGCCUUGACAUUCAUGCAAUGUACAUAAGGAUUUCCUUGGUGAAAUGGCUUCUAAAAUGGCAACAUAGUCUAAUUUCCUCCAUGAACCAACAUAAAGUGGAGUGGAUAAGGCCCUAUGGAUCUCUAAAGGUCCAGAUCUAGAGUCUAACACUCAAAGGGACAAGAUACUCAACAAUUCAAGCUAAUAAAGGGUAUAGAAAACCCUAAAAUUCAAGGAUCUUAAACAAAACAGAGAAAGGAUCGAUUUGCUACCUCAACACUGUAGAUCUAAGUUUGGAAACCAUGGAUUAGAAACCCUCUUGACCUUAUCUUGCUGGAUACACCUUCUUCUUUGCGAAACCACAACAAAAAGGGAUCAAAAAGCUCUCUAUCUCAUACAACUCGCUCCAGCUAUCUAGAGGUUCUCUCUCUGGACUAGUAGCCGCAAUUGAGGGCUAUAAGGUCCCUUAAAUAGGGCACAGGCCUAGAGAUUUAGGGUUUCUAACAUUAGCACGGACUCGUCAAGUCCACCCAUCGAAUCGUCGAGUCCGUUCAUUAAUCCAGUCAACACUCGUGAUCCUACUCGGUGAGUCUAAGCGUCAACUCACCGAGUCCCUCCUCAGAACUUCAAUUUAAACAAUCAAAAUAUGAUACAUGGAAAUCCGGAUGUUACAAUGCAUCUACUAGCUAGAUUGUCACCUAUGCUUCUUUAUAUACAUGAAUCUUUAACCUUUAAGUAACCAUGCAUAUACUAGCGAGAUUGUCGUGCAUGCUUUUUAUUACUUUAGAUUAAAUAAGUCAAAAGCCUAUGCUUUGUCUCCUAUAGGAUUUCCGGCCAUAAGACAAAAAUGUAAGACACAAAAUUCAUAUUUUAUAAACCAGGUUUAAAAAAUAUAAAGUUUAACCUUUUGGUAAAAGACAAAAGAAUUUAUCUAGUCCAAAGCAUGACUUAAUAGUUCAUACCUUAUGAAUUAUGUAAUCUUACUUGCUAAUAAAAAUUGUUCAUUCCUAGAAAUUAAUAAUUUCCAAUUAAUUAUAAAAGUUAAUUGGAUAUUUAUUAAAACCAAUUUCUAAUAAAAAUUCAAUUGUAUCAAGUUUUUGUUAGUGUGACCCAUUAGUGUGAUAUGUUAAUUAGUAAUAUCACUUUAAAAUGACGCUUGAGCUGUGACAUCCCCAAAAUCUCGACCAGAAAAGACCGGUUUCAUUUAUGAUUUUAAAAGAGAUGCGGAAUUUGUUCCCAAAAACAAAAUAUGAUAAAAUAUAUUUUAUCAAGACAUUUCAUAAAGAAAUAUGAUUUCAUUUCAUAAUCAAAAAUCAGGAUGUCAUGUUCCGAUACAGGCCAUAAAGAAUAAACAAUACAUUACAAGUCAUUCAACAAAUAUAUACAUAUACAGACUUGUAAACAAAACAACUUGAUGAUUCAUCCAUCUUAUGCCGUUGUCACUUUCUGUAAUACAAAUAAACUGAGUGGGUCAGGCUUGGGAGCCUGGUGAGCAUAUAGGGUUUUUAACCCGCAAUAAAUAAUUAUAUUUAAUUUCAACAAUCAACAAUAACCCGAUUACCCAUUCCCGUUAUCCUCAAUUUACGUCCCAAAAACAACAUCUAUUAUAAGGAACCUAAUUUAGGAUUUUCAUCAGGACGAACAUUACUGCAAGGGGUUUCCUCAGCAAUAAAUGUCCUAAAGAUAACCAUGGGGGGAUAGAGUACACCGGUGAUGUCACACCUCGAAAACCGAAGGCGGAAACAUUUCCGGGGUUGACUCCACGGUUAGUAUCAAAUCCAAUGUACAUAGUAAGUAAAGUAAAUCAACCAUUACAUUACAUUUAUGAAAGUUUUACAUUCGUUUCAAAAUCAUAAGUUAUACAAGUGAUACAUAUAAUAUAUAAACAACAUGAAACGAGUCUUCUACGCACUUCUUCUUCACCAAAAGAGAUCGUCGGGUACUUGUCUAAUGUGAACCUGAGAAUACAAGCGGUUUGAAAAUCAGCAUAAAGUUGGUGAGUUCAUAAGCGGUUUUGUUUUUUUGAAAAUGUACGAGUUCCCUUAGUUUUCUGAAAAUGUAGUUAUCCAAGAAAAUCCCAUAUUUUCUUAUGUAAAGUUAGUUUCCAAAUCCGAAAAGUAAAGUAAACGAUGUACAAUGAAAACAUGAUUGUUCUUGUGAAUUGUAGUUCAGUUAUUUAACUUGUUAUACUUUUCUAGUUACGUACUACUGUUACUCAGGAAGAACCCCAUGUUCUCCUGACUGUGUGUGUGUGAACUAUUACCAAUUCUGAUUAUGUNNNNNNNNNNNNNNNNNNNNGUGUGUACUGUACUAAUCCUAUGUGUGCUAAUUGUUACCGAUUCCGAAUAUGUUCAAUGUUAUCCCCAGGAAAACCCCAUGUUCUCCUGAAUGUGUGUAUGUGUGUGCCGGUCAUCCUUGAACGUACAUUAGUUUUAUUACGUACAUAAAACUAAUAAAUACUCGUAAAGUGUUAAUAAUCCUGAUUGUGAGUCCUUAACCAUACUCAUACUAGAUAUGACUCGGACCAGGGCCAAUAUAUUUUUUAAGACAUUCGUCACCCUUGAACCUUUCGGUUUGGCUGUAGCUAGCAGCCAGGUGUGGGAUUGUCAGUCCCGUAUAGAUCUAUACACUCAAGCCACGCUCUCCUACGUUCGAAGAUUCUGGUUACAGGGUUAGUCCUCCACUAUCUCGUGCCAAGGAAGUGUUACAAGGACGUGUCUCCAAUAUUUAAGAUUAUUCUUUACUUCUCGCCUAGGGAAAUAGUAUCUACGACUAACUAAGUUCUAACGUGCCUGUCCUUUACACUCGAGCCUAGGUGUUUUAUUAAGGACAUUACACUCGAGCCUAGGUGUUAUCUAAAUGAUGAUUGUCCUUUACACUCGAUCCUAGGUGUAUUAUUACGGGCGUUACAAAUGAUAUGUGUGUUAUCUUAUGGUGUUUGUCCUUUACACUCGAUCCUAGGUGUAUUAUUAAGGACAUUACAAUUGAUUUGUGUAUUAUGAUUGUAUUUAUCUAUCACACUCGAGCCUAGGUGUAUUGUUAAGGACAUACAGAUGUUUUAUGUUUUCUAAUGGUGUCUGUCAUUUACACUCGAACCUUAGUGUUUUAUUACAGACAUUACAAUGGUUUAUGUGUCCUAUCAUUUUAAGUGUGAACAAUCAAACAUAAAGUAUACAAUAUAACAGUGUAUAAUAAGAAUUGAAAAUCGGGUUAAACAAACAACUCUGCAAGUUAAAAAUAGUUUGUUAAAAAGGUUUUCAAUCCUUAAAAAUGUACAAGUAUGAAACCAUUUAACUAAAAUCAUAAUUUUAAGUACAAGAUAUACUUGUACUCUUGCUUGUAUUCCCCCCUUAAAAACAUUGAAAAACCAUUGAAAAAGGGUAGGGGUAUGAACUCACCGGACGCGGAAAUGUGUCGAUUUCGGAUGCUAAACGUCGAAUCGAGGCCUGAUAACACGCGAGGUUCCUAUGUAAAAUGAAAUGGCAUACAAAUAUAUCUAAUUAGAUUCAUAAACUCUAAUUAGAUAUGAAGUCACACUCCAACGAACGAAAACACCUCAAAACGGGUGUUUGGAGUGACCCGGGUGGUAUCUACGGACGGGAAAUGAAGCGAGGGACUUGGGAUUUGAGUUUACUCCCCAAGAGUAAACUUCCUAAUGAUGUUUGCGGCCAUAUACCCCUAUAUACAUGAGUUCACGGCCGUGAACUCAUGUUUGGGUGGUUUUGAGUGCUAAAAUGGCUUAAAUGGACAAGGGAAUGUUGGAAUGGAUUUUUCUAAUACCAUGGAUUUAAUUGAAGCAACAUAUACAUCACAUUUGAGAGUUCACGGCUGUAAACUUGGAGUUUAUGGCCGGAAACUCUCCUAUGCUCAAACCAUAUUUAAUUUGUGAUGCUUAAAGGGUCAAUAACACUUGGGAAGGGUUCGAACAAAUUUACCUAAGGAUUGGAAUGAAUUUGAAUCACCAAUAACAACACUUAAGGGAGUUUACGGCCUUAGCAUGGAGCUUAUGGCCGUAAACUCUCAUACUCCCUUGAAUAUGUGUUUUUAAUGUCCCAAAAUUAAUCACAUGUGAUUCUAAAAAUUCCUACAAGCCUUGAAAUGAAUUUGUGACACCAAUUGACAUACUUAUAGGAGUUUACGGCCAUGGAACACAUGCUAUGGCCGUCAACUCUCAAAUGAUUAGUUUGGUUGAGUUUAAGGCCCUAAACUUUUUUUGGUUGGUUCUAUGAUUUAUUCUAAAGCUUUUGGUGGUGUUGGAUGGCUUUCUAACACCUUGGAAAUGAGUUUNGGGUUCGAACAAAUUUACCUAAGGAUUGGAAUGAAUUUGAAUCACCAAUAACAACACUUAAGGGAGUUUACGGCCUUAGCAUGGAGCUUAUGGCCGUAAACUCUCAUACUCCCUUGAAUAUGUGUUUUUAAUGUCCCAAAAUUAAUCACAUGUGAUUCUAAAAAUUCCUACAAGCCUUGAAAUGAAUUUGUGACACCAAUUGACAUACUUAUAGGAGUUUACGGCCAUGGAACACAUGAUAUGGCCGUAAACUCUCAAAUGAUGAGUUUGGUUGAGUUUAAGGCCCUAAACUAUUUUUGGUUGGUUCUAUGAUUUAUUCUAAGGCUUUUGGUGGUGUUGGAUGGCUUUCUAACACCUUGGAAAUGAGUUUACACCUAUGAUUGAGGAGUUUACGGCCCAAGCACAUGCCUUGGCCGUAAACUCAUACAAAUCCCCCAAAAUGCAUGUUUGAAGUGUUCUAAGUCCAUUACCAAAUGUCUAAAAGUCAUAUCUAGGUCUAGAUUGAGUCAUGGAAGGGUUUAAGGGCUUAAAACCCCUUUAAAUAUGGGUUUACGGCCUAAGCACCUUCCUGGGCCGUAAACUCAUAUACAAGGCUCUAAAUCAUGAAUAAAUAUCGAAUUUGAAGAUCCAAUAUGAUGCAAAAUGAGUAUAGGAAGGUACCUUGAAGAUUUGAGACCUUAAACUUGAGAUUUGGACCUUUAAAUCUAGUUUGAGGAUAGAGGUUGGAGUGAUAGUUGUAGAAUGGAGCAAAAGCUUCAAAAUGAAGACUUGUAUCACUUUAAAUAGUGUCCAAGUUCGGGACACGGUAAAAUUCUACCCGAUACUGGCGUUAGACGGGGCUUUUGGUCGCACCCGACCAAUUUGCCAUAACCCGAUAUGGUUGAUUCUAGAAAUGUUCCGAUCAUUAAUAUGAGACAUUAGAAUGAGUUCUAAGGGUAUUAAGACACUCAUUAAGUCAUAAAAUAAAAUCCACAUUAAUGACUUAAUAAAAUGUCUAAAUCGGAAACGAAAUCGGAAACGUCGAUUGGAUGAUCAGAACGAGUCGCAAGAAGGGUUACAUUCAGGGAUAUGAAUUUCGGGUUGUUACAUUAUUCCCCCCGUUAGAGGGAAUUUCAUCCCAAAAUUCAAAGAUUCGAACACAGAUCACGAAGUGAAAAGAGAUAUGAGGAUGAAUCUACUGCUUCGGGUCUUUAAGCUCCUAAGUGGAAUCGGGUCUCCGCUUGACAUUCCAGCGAACCCUCACUGUCAGGAUGUGGCUUUGUUACGCAUGGUUAACCUCUCAAUCCACGAUCUCAAUUGAUUCAUACACGAAGGUUCGGAUUUUCAUUGGUUUUGACCUCAUCAAAGGGUGACUAAGGUUUUCGUUAGGUUAGCACUUCUCACAAACAACGAUGUGGAAUACCGGAUGCUCGCUGCGGAGUUCCUGAAGAUAGCUCGGAUAGGGCUAUGGAAUCGAUUCCUAAUGAGGAUCUCGAAGAGUCUAAGGUUCCACAAGUUAAGUUUUCCACACUUCCAAAGGUGUACUAUGUCUUUCCAGGGUAAAGCCUCCAACAAGUGGGUACAUUUUCACAUGGCAGAGCAACUAAGGGUCUGAUGGUUCUAAGGGAAACUUCUACGUGAGUCUAUGAUUAUAGUCGGCGGAACCCAAGAAUCGACAGGUUUCCAUGGGUGUUCCCGAUGUCGACUAAUUCUUUAUUGCCUUUGGUUUUGGAAGGGUUUACGAGUAUGACUGCUUUGCUUAUCUACAUGACCAAGAAAAUGGUUCGAUCGAAGGGCGCCACUACUACCUCGUAGUGAUCGUAUCAUGCCCUGAUUGCUGCCUUGCACAUAACGUGCUUACUGAAUUUUGGUUACGAGAUAAUUUCAUGGAUUAGGUCGAUGCGAGACUUGACUACACGUUCGGAAAGAAUUAUCAAGAAUUCUUUGGAAAUAGAAUCGGGGAAAGAAUCAUAGACUUCUCGUUUCUCGAUGAUUACUCGGACGAGAGGUACAUAGGAAAACUUUUUAAGCUUUGAUGUACGAGGAUCAUGAAGGUCGAGUCGGAAGAAGGUUGGAACGAAUGGAUUUCUCUAAACUAGGAAAGACAGCAUGAAUGAGGCUCAGUCAUUACAUGCUAAAGGUGACAUCAAAGCAUUUCAUAAAAAGUUUGCCAAUAGGUCGAAUGGAAAGAAUAAUCGCUCGGAUUGAGAAUACAAUCAACGGAUACGACACAAGCGUUCUCGUUCUCACAUGAUAACCAUCUCGAAGGUAUACAUUUUCGGUUACUCGCAAACGACGGGGUUAGAAUAUGUUCCAAUGGAUGGUUAAUGAAUUGCUUAUGGUGCUAGAAUCGAAAAGAAUCACAGGCAUAUAAAUUUAACAAGGGGAAAUAUACCUGUGGCAACGGUGGGAUCGGUGGAUGUCUCCUCGUGUCCUAUCACUAGAACUCUUCCGGUGUUUCCAGGUGUUACAGCUUUGGGAUAGUUUCGUUUAAGAUGCCCAACUUCUCCACAACCAUAGCAGGCCCGACCAAUGCCUGCUCCGGAAGUUUGACUCGUUGAUUGGGUUGGUGUCUUACAGUUUUUCUCCAUGUGACCCUUUAUGCCACAUUUGUUGCAAAUUACCUCGAUACAUGGACCGGAAGGAAGAUGAUGAUAGUUGCACUUGCCACAACUAGGAAGGGUUCCAGUAUACCUAUUGGCAGGUUUUCGAGUUGAGGAUUCAACAACAGAAACAGUUGCAGGGGAAUUGACAGCAUGAACUGCCACCGUUUGCUGUUUCUUCAAAGACUCGUGCGAUGUCUGGCUUUUCUCUUUCUUCCCAAGUUUUCUUUUCUCGCCACUCCUCACUAUCGGCUCAGGAGUGGUAGUUGCUUCCUCAAGGUCUUCGCUAUGAUCGAUUAGGAUCUGUGCUAAGCGUUUGGCGCUGUCGUAUGUAUCCAGCCUUGCGGCUAAGACGUUUCCUUUCGUUGGCUGGGUCAUCCCCCAGAUGAAUCUUUCUAUCUUCUUACUCUCUGGGGUAACCAUUCCCGGGCAGAGUAGUGCCAAGUCGUCGAACCUGGAAGUAUAAGCAGUGAUGUCGGAACCUUUCAUCUUCAGGUUCCAAAGUUCAUGUUCUAACUUCUGCAUUUCACCCCGAUGGCAGUACUCAGCCAUAAGAAGUUCCUUCAUGGCUUCCCAAACCAUGGUGUUGGCUACAGGUAAGGUUAGGGAUUUGACUCGGCCAUUCCACCAAGUCAAGGCUUUGUCGAUAAAGGUGCAGGCGACAAACUUC